rnacentral:rRNA from 1 species
GAGCGAGGUUAAGCAGGAUAUGCGGAGCCGAAGCGAAAGCGAGUCUUAAGAGGGCGCGAGUUGCAUGCAGUAGACCCGAAACCGGGUGAUCUAGCCAUGACCAGGUUGAAGUUGGGGUAAAACCCGAUGGAGGACCGAACCGACCCCCGUUGAAACGUUGGCGGAUGAGUUGUGGCUAGGGGUGAAAUUCCAAUCGAACCCGGAGAUAGCUGGUUCUCCCCGAAAUAGCUUUAGGGCUAGCGUCGGAAAGAACCUUAGUGAAGGUAGAGCACUGAAUGUGUGAUGGCCCCAUCCCGGGGUACUGAAUACAAUCAAACUGCGAAUGUCAUUAAGGAUGUCCGGCAGUCAGACUGUGAGUGAUAAGGUCCAUGGUCAAGAGGGAAACAGCCCAGACCGCCAGUUAAGGUCCCAAAAUACAGGCUAAGUGGAAAAGGAUGUGGGGAUGCCCAGACAACUAGGAGGUUGGCUCAGAAGCAGCCAUCCUUUAAAGAGUGCGUAACAGCUCACUAGUCGAGUGACCCUGCGCCGAAAAUGUACCGGGGCUAAGCCUGAUACCGAAACUGCGGAUUGUAGGAAACUAUAGUGGUAGGGGAGCGUUGUAUACGAGCAGAAGCCGUACCGUGAGGAGCGGUGGAUUGUAUAGAAGUGAGAAUGCCGGUGUGAGUAGCGAGAUGUAGGUGAGAAUCCUACACACCGAAAGCCCAAGGAUUCCAGGGGAAGGUUCGUCCGCCCUGGGUAAGUCGGGACCUAACGCGAGGCCGAAAGGCGUAGUGGAUGGAAAGCAGGCGAAAGAUUCCUGCACCCGUAUAUGGAGCGAAGGAGUGACGGAGACGGAUAGUGUGACCCUCUUAAUGGAUUGAGGGCGAAGCGAAGCGGCUGGUUACCAGGCAAAUCCGGUAACCAUAAGGCUAGAGCGUGACAGGUAAGCGAAAUCUUAGGAAAGUAGCGAAGCACAUGAUGACGGCUUCCAGGAAAAGCUUCUGGCAAUGCAUAUGCGGCCCGUACCAAAACCGACACAGGUGGGCAGGGAGAGAAUCCCGAGGUGAGCGAGAGAACUGUUGCCAAGGAACUCGGCAAAAUGACUCCGUAAGUUAGCGAGAAGGAGUGCUUAAGCAAUUAAGCCGCAGUGAAGAGGCCCAAGCGACUGUUUAACUAAAACACAGCUCUCUGCGAAGUCGCAAGACGAAGUAUAGGGGGUGACACCUGCCCGGUGCUGGAAGGUUAAGAGGAUCUGUUAAGAGCGAUCUGAAGCAGUGAUCCGAAGCCCCAGUGAACGGCGGCCGUAACUAUAACGGUCCUAAGGUAGCGAAAUUCCUUGUCAGGUAAGUUCUGACCCGCACGAAAGGUGUAACGAUUUGGGCGCUGUCUCGGCAGCAGACUCGGUGAAAUCUUAGUACCUGUGAAAAUGCAGGUUACCCGCAACUAGACGGAAAGACCCCAUGGAGCUUUACUGCAGCCUGAUAUUGAAUUCUGGUCAUACAUGUACAGGAUAGGUGGGAGACAAAGAGACGUGCACGCCAGUGUACGAGGAGUCGACGUUGGGAUACCACUCUUGUGUGACCGGGGUUCUAACCUGGUAUCGAGAACAGGUACGGGGAGAGUGUCAGGUGGGCAGUUUGACUGGGGCGGUCGCCUCCCAAAGAGUAACGGAGGCGCCCAAAGGUACGCUCAGAUUGGAUGGAAACCAAUCGUCGAGUGCAAUUGCAGAAGCGUGCUUGACUGUGAGACAGACAAGUCGAACAGGGACGAAAGUCGGGAAUAGUGAUCCGGCGGUGCCGAAUGGAAGGGCCGUCGCUCAACGGAUAAAAGCUACCCUGGGGAUAACAGGCUGAUCUCGCCCAAGAGUUCACAUCGACGGCGAGGUUUGGCACCUCGAUGUCGGCUCAUCGCAUCCUGGAGCUGGAUUCGGUUCCAAGGGUUGGGCUGUCCGCCCAUUAAAGCGGUACGCGAGCUGGGUUCAGAACGUCGUGAGACAGUUCGGUCCCUAUCUGUUGUGGGCGAAGGAGAUCUGCGGAGAGCUGUCCUCAGUACGAGAGGACCGGGAUGGACCUACCGCUGGUGCACCGGUUGUUCCGCCAGGGGCAUAGCCGGGUAGCUAAGUAGGGAAAGGAUAAGCGCUGAAAGCAUCUAAGCACGAAGCCUACUCCAAGAUGAGAUCUCCCAUUCGCAAGAAGUAAGACCCCUUAAAGACGAUAAGGUAGAUAGGCCAGGGAUGGAAGUGCAGUGAUGUACGGAGUUGACUGGUACUAAUCGGUCGAGGACUUAAUCAG